ACCACGAAACAUUAUUUGUGCUUGUUGCUGUUUUCCAUGUGCUCUGUGGUUACCUGUCUGUCAUGUGUCUUUGUCUCCACCCAUCCCUUUUUAUGGUCUGCACUUCCUGUCUAGUUAGUUCCCCUCUGG